rnacentral:rRNA from 1 species
GGCUCAGAUUGAACGCUGGCGGCAGGCCUAACACAUGCAAGUCGAGCGGAUGAGAAGAGCUUGCUCUUCGAUUCAGCGGCGGACGGGUGAGUAAUGCCUAGGAAUCUGCCUGGUAGUGGGGGACAACGUUUCGAAAGGAACGCUAAUACCGCAUACGUCCUACGGGAGAAAGCAGGGGACCUUCGGGCCUUGCGCUAUCAGAUGAGCCUAGGUCGGAUUAGCUAGUUGGUGAGGUAAUGGCUCACCAAGGCUACGAUCCGUAACUGGUCUGAGAGGAUGAUCAGUCACACUGGAACUGAGACACGGUCCAGACUCCUACGGGAGGCAGCAGUGGGGAAUAUUGGACAAUGGGCGAAAGCCUGAUCCAGCCAUGCCGCGUGUGUGAAGAAGGUCUUCGGAUUGUAAAGCACUUUAAGUUGGGAGGAAGGGCAGUAAGUUAAUACCUUGCUGUUUGAC